GUGGGAUUUUGGCUAUUUGGUGACCAGAUAGAGCUUUUGUAUAUGUUUUUCACAACAGUGCUCAAUAGAUUAUUACUAUUAUUUCUAAACCGAAUAAAUGGCCAUGAGUCCUUUACACAGUCUACGUGAUACUAGUUUCUAAAAAAAAAAAAACAAGAAGAAUGUUAUGGAGGGAAAUCGAGGUGGUUAUUUAAGAAAGUGUCCCCACCCUAGUUGUAGGUGACUUUAACUGCGUUGAGAUUCUCCA
rnacentral:lncRNA from 1 species